rnacentral:lncRNA from 7 species
GCCCUCAGCACUUUGAGGUCCUUCUGAUGCAUCAUUUUGCUCUCUCUGCUGCUGUUACCUCACUCCAGCCCUCAGCUAGAAGUUCCUGAGAGAAGCAGCUCAGCUCUCGAGCACCCCUGGAGUCAUCACCAGUGUUAAAACUGCAAAGUAACUGAAUGCAUCCCUGCCAUGUGAGUGCUGGUGCCUUAAGAAGAGUCGCCUGAUACACUGGGGAGAUCUGUUCAUCAAAGCAUGGCACGUGAUGGUGCUGUUUUGAAUGCAAUCGUUGAUGCUUAUUCUGAAACCAUUAGCACUGAAAGUGCCCCCCGCACAGAGACAGCCAACCCUCAAUGUCAGUGAUGGAUGGGAAGAAGGCAGCAGGAAAUAAUGUGAUUUCCUAAAACGUGGGAAUUAGCAAGUCAAGCCCAGAGAAUUAAAACUGCCCGGAGGCUCAGCUGCCCUGAAAGAAUCCAGUAAAACUCCAUCUCAAGCUAGCAAGAAGCGGAACACGGCAUCUAUUUUUGUUAUGACAUCCUUGAGGUCAGCCCAGCAACAGGGAGGGGAAGAAAUUAAACCCAAACAUUUGCAAGACUGCUCGAUGUUUUAAGGACCUGUAAGGAGGCUGAGGAAUAAGACGUCUGACACAGAGAACUGUGGCUGAAACCUUCCUAAGACUGCUGCCAUUGUGCAAACCAAGUGCACACCAGUAGGAGAGCAGUGCCACAACCGAGCAAUGGCACAAAGCAUCACAGGAGGGGGAGAGAUGGUUCUGAUGUAACAGGGAGUCAGAUGGGGAGUUGACCUCUGUGCCUCCAGCAGCAAUACAACGCAUGGCCUCAGCACGAGGACAUGGGAAUGGGGUCUGAGCAGCUUUUGCAGGAUGGCUGCACAGAAUCUGUGCUGAGGAGUUCUGAGGUCAUAAAGUGUAAAUAAAGCCAAAUACCACGCACGCUGUAUCUUUCUCCCUCAGCAAAUGUGGCUUGCAGUUGGAGACCAUCAACGUCCCGUUAUUAUGAAUAUGAUCUGAGCCGUCUGUGGCUUUGCCAAGGCUGAUAUUUAUUUCCUUUUUGGUGUGUUUUUGUGGCCAGGAGCCCAAAGGAACCGGUGCCCUUUCUGUUCUGCCCUGCAGCAGUUUGCAGAGCGGCGAGUCACGGCUGCACGGAGCUGCAGCCAAGCUCAUGUCCAAAAGCUGUGUGUUGGCAGCUCCUCUUAUGCAGGCAGGAGCUGAUGAAUGCCAGCUGAAUCCAUGGUGAUAGGAGUCAGCAUGGCCGUGCUGCCCAUGGAAACCAGAGCUGCCUACUGUCAUUGCUUAUUGCUCCCAGGCUUUAAUACAUUGUCACUCACUUUGGCUUUGCUACCACUUACACCUCCUUAAAUCUGGAGUAAACGUGCUUGUUGAUGAGAGCCAGAAGGCAUUAAAAGGACCUGUCCUCUGCACUCCAGAUCUGACAGCAUGAGGACCCAGACACAGUGAAAGCAUGAUGUUCAUUUGCCCCUUUUGGGUUCAUAACUGCAAAAAUUAAACGUUAUUUCU